rnacentral:rRNA from 1 species
UACGUAGGGUGCGAGCGUUGUCCGGAAUUAUUGGGCGUAAAGGGCUCGUAGGCGGUCUGUCGCGUCGGGAGUGAAAACUCAGGGCUUAACCCUGAGCCUGCUUCCGAUACGGGCAGACUAGAGGUAUGCAGGGGAGAACGGAAUUCCUGGUGUAGCGGUGAAAUGCGCAGAUAUCAGGAGGAACACCAGUGGCGAAGGCGGUUCUCUGGGCCGAUACUGACGCUGAGGAGCGAAAGCGUGGGGAGCGAACAGG